GACGAACGCUGGCGGCGUGGAUUAGGCAUGCAAGUCGAACGGUAUCAUCCUUUCGGGGGUGAGAGAGUGGCGAACUGGUGAGUAACACGUAGGUUAUCUACCCUCAAGACGGGGACAACCCAGGGAAACUUGGGCUAAUACCGGAUGUGAGCAACUUUUAGUUGUUUGAAAGGUGGCGUAAGCUGUCGCUUGGGGAUGAGCCUGCGUCCUAUUAGUUAGUUGGUGAGGUAACGGCUCACCUAGGCAAUGAUAGGUAGGCGGCCUUAACGGGUGGUCGCCCACACUGGGAUUGAGAUACGGCCCAGACUCCUACGGGAGGCAGCAGUCGAGAAUAGUCUACAAUGGUCGGAAGACUGAUAGUGCGACGCCGCGUGAACGAUGAAUCCCUUCGGGGUGUAAAGUUCUUUUAUAUGUGAGCAGUGCUUCUUAUAUUAACAGUAUGGGGAGAGAGAUAUUAGCAUAUGAAUAAGCAACGGCUAACUCCGUGCCCAGCAGCCGACGGU
rnacentral:rRNA from 1 species